GCCCAUUCUCCCUCUCCCCCACACUUUCCUUUCUAGCUUUUGCUUCUGUGAACAUUAUCUGCUGUCUAUGAAUGUAUUCCUUCUUUCCUUUUUCAUAUUUCAUACUGCUGUGUGUCCUGUUCAACAAAGUCCUUAAGCGUGUGAGGCUGUUUGACAGAGCAGUCUCAAAAGCUUUAUCCCAGCUAGAGGACCUACAUACCUGUGCACAGCCCAGCUGCCUACUGCAGGAAGAGAUCCAGAUGCAUACCAGCCUUUUCCCCCAGGGUGAAGGAAAGAUUUUCUCAUCUGCCCUGAAAAGGUUGGUCAGCACCCACAGGCUCUGGCCUGACAUAGCCUGUUCACCCAGCCCAGGUGCCUGAGAAGUGGAAUUAAGCAGGAGCUGACUGGUGAAUGCAGUGAGUGACUGAUGUUUCUGUGAGAUGGGCCAAGAAACACCAGCAGGAUCCAGAAAUGUUGCCAGAGGAAAUCCAAGGGGAAGAUUAAGUAUAUUGUGGACAAGGAACAACCUGGCAAUAUAAUGAUGGUAAGAAGUUGGGGGUUGCUAGUCUGGGACUGUUUCAUGGAAAUUCAUGGAACUGUUAUUGUUGAAUCAGUUGUUGAAAUUGCUUAUUUUUGAAUCAUUGAAUUGUUAUUUAGUAUUUACUGUUACUUGCUGAAGAGUUCCUCUUUGAACCGUUGUUAAUGUUAGCACUCACACCUGAUCAUUUGAAAAGAAGCUCAGAUGUGAAUGGCUCUGUAGAUGUACUUCUAGAACAUAAAAUAUCAGCUGUGAGAAACUGUGACAUUUAGACCUAUAUAGAAGUAGCCAUCUUACUUACAGGAGCAAUAAAACCACCUUACUCAAAGACA
rnacentral:lncRNA from 1 species